GUUGUCCGCCUGAUGAGGGAUCGGACUGAGGGCAACACCAUGGUUAAGGUGUGGAGGCAGGUCCAGGAGGGUCACUGUGAGGAGUACCUGCAGAGAAAGGACCUCUACACCACCCUUCUCUGUCAGCUCAGCAGACCUGGAAGCAUCAUGAGUGCUCUGGGCCAUCAAUACCAGAAGCCGCCGACGCGCAUGUAGCUGCCGUCGCCGAGGCUUCUGAGAAAAGCCUACCUGAUCUAUGAGGCAGAGCACAUUGAGGACUACCGGACACAAAUCAUGUCCACGUUCGGGAAAGUCCUCAAGUAUGUCUCCACCAGGAAGAUCUGCAAGAAGCUUUCAGGUCACGGAAGAGGCACUGCAGAGUGGUGCACCAACGUGGCCAACGAGCUGGGGCAGGUCCUCAUGUCGGUGUUCACCUGCAAGGAGUCU